GUGAGGAAUAUUGCGCAAUGGAGGCAACUCUGACGCAGCCAUGCCGCGUGCAGGAAGAAGGCGCUACGCGUUGUAAACUGCUUUUAACCGGGAAGAAACCCCAGGACGUGUCCUGGGUUGACGGUACCGGAGGAAUAAGCACCGGCUAACUUCGUGCCAGCAGCCGCGGUAAUACGAAGGGUGCAAGCGUUAUCCGGAUUCAUUGGGUUUAAAGGGUGCGUAGGCGGAGCGUUAAGUCAGUGGUGAAAUCCUGCAGCUUAACUGUAGACUUGCCAUUGAUACUGGAGCUCUUGAGUGCGCUUGAAGUGGGCGGAAUGUGCCGUGUAGCGGUGAAAUGCUUAGAUAUGGCACAGAACACCAAUUGCGAAGGCAGCUCACUAAGGCGAUACUGACGCUGAGGCACGAAAGCGUGGGGAGCAAACAGGAUUAGAAACCCGAGUAGUCC
rnacentral:rRNA from 1 species